GAUGAACGCUAGCGACAGGCCUAACACAUGCAAGUCGAGGGGCAGCAUAAAGGUAGCAAUACUUUGGUGGCGACCGGCGCACGGGUGAGUAACACGUAUGCAACCUACCUGUAAGAGGGGAAUAACCCGGAGAAAUUCGGACUAAUACCGCAUAAUACCGCAGAACUGCAUGGUUUAGUGGUUAAACAUUUAUGGCUUACAGAUGGGCAUGCGUAUGAUUAGCUAGUUGGUGAGGUAACGGCUCACCAAGGCAACGAUCAUUAGGGGUUCUGAGAGGAAGGUCCCCCACACUGGUACUGAGACACGGACCAG
rnacentral:rRNA from 1 species